rnacentral:pre_miRNA from 1 species
UAUAAGGGAUUUUGAAUUUUUGCUUGUAACGUUUGACCACUCGUCUUAUUCAAAAAAUUUUGAAAUUAUUAUUAUUUUAUUUGUGACUUACAUUAUUAUCUACAAUACUUUAAGCACAACUUUUCGUUUUUUAUAUUUGAAAAAAAAUUGAAUAAGACGAGUGGUCAAACGUCACAAGCAAAAACUCAAAAUCCCCUUAUA